rnacentral:rRNA from 1 species
UACGGAGGAUGCGAGCGUUAUCCGGAUUUAUUGGGUUUAAAGGGUGCGUAGGCGGACUGUCAAGUCAGCGGUAAAAUUGAGAGGCUCAACCUCUUCCCGCCGUUGAAACUGGUGGUCUUGAGUGGAUGAGAAGUACGCGGAAUGCGUGGUGUAGCGGUGAAAUGCACAGAUAUCACGCAGAACCCCGAUUGCGAAGGCAGCGUACCGGCAUCCAACUGACGCUGAGGCACGAAAGCGUGGGGAUCAAACAGG